CACCGCUCGCUUCUUUCAAACGCUCAAUGGCCGCUAACAAUCCUUCCCAGCUGCUCCCGUCAGAACUAAUUGAUAGUCCCAGGGGCUUCGACGUCUAGGUCAAUAUGGUCCUCGAAGACGUCACAGAGUAUGAGAUCACUGCUGAAGGGAGACGGAUAACAAAGCUUGAUCAGAUUUUACUAAAUGGAAACAACAUUGCCAUUCUCGUACCUGGUGGUUCGCCUGAUCCAGAAUGAGAGUGCCGUUAACCUUUACCUGUGAUGGUUGUAGGAUAGCGCGUGAUGGGCUUUUCCAAUGAUAUAUCAUGGAGUCGGAUGGAUUGUUUUUAGCAGUUAUCCAGACUCUUAUGCAUCU